rnacentral:rRNA from 1 species
UGAGGAAUUUUGCGCAAUGGGGGCAACCCUGACGCAGCAACGCCGCGUGUGGGAAGAAGGCUUUCGGGUUGUAAACCACUUUUGUAAGGGACGAAGUCCUUUCGGUUAAUACCCGAGGGGGAUGACGGUACCUUGCGAAUAAGCCACGGCUAACUCUGUGCCAGCAGCCGCGGUAAGACAGGGGUGGCAAGCGUUGUUCGGAAUAACUGGGCGUAAAGGGUCUGUAGGUGGUUUUUCAAGUCUUUGGUAAAACGCCGUGGCUCAACCAUGGUUUGGCCAAGGAGACUGGGAGACUAGAGGCUGGGAGAGGGAAGCGGAAUUUCUGGUGUAGCGGUGAAAUGCGUAGAGAUCAGAAAGAAGGCCGGUGGCGAAGGCGGCUUCCUGGAACAGACCUGACACUGAGAGACGAAAGCGUGGGGAGCAAACAGG